GAUACCAGCUGGCUGCAACUGUUUAUUAAAAACACAGCACUGUGCAAACACGAAAGUGGACGUAUACGGUGUGACGCCUGCCCGGUGCUGGAAGGUUAAUUGAUGGGGUUAUCCGUAAGGAGAAGCUCUUGAUCGAAGCCCCAGUAAACGGCGGCCGUAACUAUAACGGUCCUAAGGUAGCGAAAUUCCUUGUCGGGUAAGUUCCGACCUGCACGAAUGGCGUAAUGAUGGCCAGGCUGUCUCCACCCGAGACUCAGUGAAAUUGAACUCGCUGUGAAGAUGCAGUGUACCCGCGGCAAGACGGAAAGACCCCGUGAACCUUUACUAUAGCUUGACACUGAACAUUGAGCCUUGAUGUGUAGGAUAGGUGGGAGGCUUUGAAGCGUGGACGCCAGUCUGCGUGGAGCCAACCUUGAAAUACCACCCUUUAAUGUUUGAUGUUCUAACGUUGCCCCAUUAUCUGGGGUGCGGACAGUGUCUGGUGGGUAGUUUGACUGGGGCGGUCUCCUCCCAAAGAGUAACGGAGGAGCACGAAGGUUGGCUAAGCAUGGUCGGACAUCAUGCGGUUAGUGCAAAGGCAUAAGCCAGCUUGACUGCGAGAGUGACGGCUCGAGCAGGUACGAAAGUAGGUCUUAGUGAUCCGGUGGUUCUGAAUGGAAGGGCCAUCGCUCAACGGAUAAAAGGUACUCCGGGGAUAACAGGCUGAUACCGCCCAAGAGUUCAUAUCGACGGCGGUGUUUGGCACCUCGAUGUCGGCUCAUCACAUCCUGGGGCUGAAGUAGGUCCCAAGGGUACGGCUGUUCGCCGUUUAAAGUGGUACGCGAGCUGGGUUUAGAACGUCGUGAGACAGUUCGGUCCCUAUCUGCCGUGGGCGUUGGAAGAUUGAAAGGGGCUGCUCCUAGUACGAGAGGACCGGAGUGGACGCACCACUGGUGUUCGGGUUGUCAUGCCAAUGGCAUU
rnacentral:rRNA from 1 species